CCUAAUCUCGCUUGGCAUAGGACUCGGUCUCUGGCUAGGGGACCUGCACCCGUGGACACUCAGCUAGAGUGACCCUGAGACGGACUCAGCAUAAACACGGCCCCUCCUGAGACAAGUUUCUGGGGGCAGGUUACCAAAACCCAGGAUUUCUGAGAAGAGAAAUGACAGCUGCCAGGAUUCCUUGUGUCUAGCCCAGAAGCAAAGUUUCCCAUGCUGCUGUGACAAAUGCCUGUACUCACUGCCCCAGGGGUCUGCUGUGGUAAAGGCAAAGCUAUCUGAUGUCUUGGACACGGAGAGCUCAAUUCUUUGACCUCACAAGGGCAAGAAGAUUCUUGAGAUAAUGGGGUAGAAAAAAUAUGGGUCUGAGAAAUUCAGUGCAAAUUGAAAU
rnacentral:lncRNA from 1 species